rnacentral:rRNA from 1 species
CGCGCAGGCGGUUUUAUAAGUCAGAUGUGAAAUCCCGGGGCUCAACCCCGGAAGUGCAUUUGAAACUAUAAGACUUGAGUAUGGGAGAGGGAAGUGGAAUUCCUGGUGUAGAGGUGAAAUUCGUAGAUAUCAGGAGGAACACCGGUGGCGAAGGCGACUUCCUGGACCAAUACUGACGCUGAGGCGCGAAGGCGUGGGGAGCAAACA